ACGACCCGCAAGGCCGACGCAUAACGCGCCGCCGGUGCAAGCCCGGCCACCCCACAUGGGGCGGGCGCUCAUGGGUACACA
rnacentral:ribozyme from 1 species